GCCAGGUGUGGUAGCGCACGCCUGUAGUCCCAGCUACUCAGGAGGCUGAGACAGGAGGACUGAUUGAGCCUGGGAGGUCAAGGCUGCAGUGAGCCAUGGCCAUGCCACUGCACUCCAGCCUGAGCAACAGAGCAGGACCCUGUCUCAA
ensembl:misc_RNA Metazoa_SRP Metazoan signal recognition particle RNA